CACCUACUGGAGUCACUGAUUGGUUUUACAACAACGGGGACUCCUAGCUCAUUCUCGUCCAAUUCGUCGAUGUCGGUAACGGUGCCAAUAAGCUCGAUCAGAACAUAGGAAAAUUCUACCUUGCUGGAAGCCCACAACAGGAAUUACAAGGACAGAGGGAGCUCCAAAGCCAGAGCUAGAGUCAGAGACAAUGUCAAUGCAGUCGCAGCUCAAGAGGCAACCGACAAGACAACGCCGGAAGCGUACUCAGCGGCUUCGAGGAGCGAAUUUUGGCCGAGGCAUUCAACAUCGAUACCAACCUAACCCAGUUUGUUUUUUGUAAAGCCUACUUUUGCUUUUACAGAGUGUAGUAAACAAGUAAGGGUAGUGAUACACAUUUCAGCAAAAACAAUGUUAUUAUAAUUUGAGUAAUUCAAAAAUAAUAUAAUUACAGUAAAAAA